CCAAACAGAGCGUUAUACAGUAAAAUAGAAAGUCAAUCCUCCCGAAGACGGACAGAGAGCAACAGCAGAGCUGCUAAGGGGUUAGGGUUUCAGAUCUCGGCUAAAACCUUUUGGGAAGAAAUGGCGUUGAGAAACUUGUACAAGGAGAUAAAAGGUAUGAAGAUGAAGGAGGUGCCGGCGCACCUGAAACCGAUGCUAUCUAUCGAUUACGCGAAGAAUGCUGUCAAAAAGGGAUUGGAUAAUUACCAUGCUAAAUACAUCGAAACCAGUUCCGUUGACCCUCUCCUCCAUGUCUGCUUUGGAGGCAUGAUUUUCUCCUACCUCGUUGCCCUUCCGGAAGAGCGACGCCACCUCGAGCACAAACAACAUGGCAAUCAUUGAUUGUCGCUUGCGAUUUUCUAAGAUUCCUUGGGAGACUGAGUGGAUGGUCUAGUGAAGGACAAACAUCUGUUUCUGUUGGUUGCUUUACCCUUUUGCCAAUGUAAUUGGUGUACCCAAUGAUAUAACUCAUUUUAUUUUAUAAAAUACAUGGCUUAUUAAUUUAAUAAAAUAUAACCAAGUACUUUUCCCCUUGGCUUGUGGACAGU